CUGGAGUGCAGAGGCACCAUCUCUGCUCACUGCAACCUCCACCUGCCAGGUUCAAGCGAUUCUCCUGCCUCAACCUCCUGAGCAGCUGAGAUUACAGGUGCACGCCACUACCCCCAGAACUACAUGAGGCCUGGAGAAGACAAGCACGUGAGAAGGCAGGCCCUGUCCAGGGUGCCCCACAGCGAGGCAAUGGCAAAGGAGCAUAAAGAGUGAAUUAGAACAUACAGCUGUGCAAAGGCGGAGGAAGGAUGAUUCCCAUGUCCAGCAGCCACCCCCGACAAUACCAAGGAUCAGGAGUUAAUGUGCUUUGGCCUAAAGCUCCUGAAUAUAUCGCCUGCUUCCAGCUGUUCAGGGACAGGUGGCCCAAACUGGGAAACAUACACAGAUGUAAAUGAAAACAAAACACAUAAUGGGAAAUGGGCCAGAUUAUUUUCCUCAACUGUUAUGGGAGUUCCUCCAUAAGUGAGUGAGGCCAAAGACCUGGUCUAACAUUCAUCAGUUAAUGUGUCAAGUAAUGUUUUCAUUAUGGAAUGUAUGAUGUAGUUUUCACCAACUGGAUUAGCGUUUUGCUCAAAAAAACAUCUUUUUUUUGUACUUCAGGCUUAAUGAUUUAAUGAGAGUUACUUAACUGUGUUUUUCAGAGAGGGCUGAACUUUUCUUUACCCUCCCAACUGAACUCUUGACCAGCUUUUCUGAAAACUGAGGAGGUUGGAAAAUUAACAGGAGAAAAUAUAAAAGCAAAUCACUAUUGUUGUAGUCCUAAAUUAGCUGCUUAAACAACAACUCCGUAAGUUUCCUGUGAAUAAGUGGCUAGAUUCUUAGAGUGACUGGAUCUGCCACUUUUCUUUCCUUUUCUUUUCUUUUAUUUUGAGACGGAGUCUCGCUCUGUUGCCCAGGCUGUACGGCAGUGGUGCAACCUCAGCUCACUGCAACCUCUGCCUCCCAGGUUCAAGUGAUUACUCCCAUCUCAACCUCCCAAGUAGCUGGGACUACAGGUGUGCACCACCACACCCGGCAAUUUUUUGUAUUUUUAAUACAGAUGAGGUUUCACCAUGUUGGCCAGGCUGGUCUCGAACUCCUGACCUCAAGCGACCCACCUGCCUCAGCCUCCCAAAGUGCUGGGAUUACCCACACCUGGCCUGGAUCUGCCACGUUUCAAUAUCUUUGCAGUUCCUGCCAGCUUCUGCUCAAAUAUAAGGAGUUAGGUGGUGCUUGUUGCCCCGAGGCCUGUCGUACUGCUGAUUGACCCAAUUGUUGGGCAGUGCUUUCUUAUACCGAAGUACAAUCUGCCACUUUUUUUUUUUUUUUUUUUUUUUUUUGAGAUGGAGUCUUGCUCAGUCGCCCAAGCUGGAGUGCAGUGGCGUGAUCUCCACUCACUACGAGCUCCACCUCCCGGGUUCACACCAUUCUCCUGCCUCAGCCUCCCGAGUAGCUGGGACUACAGGCACCCACCACCAUGCCUGGCUAAUUUUUUUGUAUUUUUAGUAGAGACGGGGUUGAAUCUGCCACCUUUUAACUUGUUCCCAUUGUUAUGUGUCCUUACGAAAUUGCACAAACCAGUUUGCAAUUGCCUCUUUCCCCUUACAGUCCUUCUCCCAACUAGAGAUGGCCAUCCCAACCUGCCUUGGCUUCUUUUCUUCAGGCCCAUCACCUCUAAUUCUCUCUAGCCUUCAUCACGGAAUAGCAUAGUUCUGUCCAUUAUCUUGGUUGUCUCCCUUUGGGCACGUACUAGUCUGUCAGUAUAAUGUUUAAAAUAUGGUGCUCAGAAAUGACAACAAUGCUCCUGGCACCACCAGGCCAGUAGAACAGAUAAUGGGACAGUAACUGCCCUUAACCUGGGCACAGCACCCCCCUACUCCAGCCUGUUCAGGCGUCGCUUCUUUGGCAGCCCUGCCACACUGCUGGCUCACUGAAGCCUGCACGCAAUGAAAAUCCUCAGAUUUUUCUCACAAGAGCUGUGCCAAGUUAUUACUCCCACCCCGUAUUUAUGCAAGGGAUUUAAAAAACCCAAUUGCAAAACUUUACUUUUAACCUGUUAACAUUUCAUCUCCUUGUUUCCAGCCUGCAUGACAGCCUAUUGGGAUAUCUUGUUCUGUCUUUAUCAUAUUAGCUUACGGCUUUGUAAUAUCUGCAAAUUUGGGAAGCAUGUUUCUCCAACUCCAUCUAAAGUGUUGAUGAAAAUAUUGGAUGGCACAUUUGGAUCUCUCUGUGGGAAUGUACCAGGAACCACCUCUUGGCUAACAUAGAGACAUCUAUCAGUAGUUGUUUAAACAGCUGGGAAUCUAAAUAUCCACGUCUUCCCCGUACUCCAGUGAACAUGUUUCUUGAUUGCAGAGACCAGUGUUCCCCCAUGGGAUCCCCUAUGCACCAAAUAACCCAAAGGACCCUUGUUAUGAGGGGCUUCCUGGUUAAACCAAUACCAUCUAACUUUCAGCUUCAAGGCUACCUUGGAACUGUGGUUUUUGUUGAAUGCUGCUACAAACAUGCUUCCCAAAAGGUCUAAGAAACUUGCCACAUAGUGUUGUCUUGAGCACUAGGAGUCCCUCAAGAAUUGGGAAGCCAGGUGGUCACGUGGAGAUCUACCACUUUAUUCCAUGGUUGGUGGCUGCAGGUGUGGGGAGUGGAGGGGAGCUUAUAAAACAGGCAUGACCAUCCAGUGUCCAGAUCUUGGUUUCUAAUACCAUUCUCUAGUAAAGGAAUCAGUGCUCCCUAGAUAAAUAGCUGAUUCUAGGACUGGGGCAGAGAAUACAUAAGAUGAGCCUGAAAUAUUUUGCAGUGCCAGAAAGUAAGGAAUGCUUUUAAAAACUCUACAGUAUUGGCCUAUGUCAAAGGGACACAGGAGCCACUGAGAGAUCUUCUAGUGACCAAAGCUGGAACAAUUUGAACCACAAAAUAAAGUAGUGUUGGACUAUCCCCAAAAGUAUAAAUAUCCAUGAGUCCAUGCUGAUAUAAAUAAAUGGUCGAAUGAAUGAAUAAACGUAAGACAACAGACAAAUCUCCAGUGCAGAAGAAUUCCAAUGAUUUGUGGAGAUACUCUGUCCUCGAGGAGGAAGAGCAUAGCUCCCUACUCCUUAAGUAGGUUGCACAUAGUGACUUCCUUCCGUAGAGCACAGUAGAAGAAGGAGGAAAAAGAGUAACUUGAUGAUAUAACAGUCUGACAAACACUGCUUCAGCCAGGUGACCAAGACUGACAUUAACAGGGAUAAGUCGUGUUAAUAAUAUGUACCCCUGAUAGGAUGUGAUGAGAGUGGCACUUGACUUCUCUGGUGUUUUCGGAACCUAUAAACCCAGUCUAAUCAUGAGAAGAAUAUCAGAUCAAUUUGAAUUGAUGGACAUUCUACAAAAUAAGGAAGGCCUGAGAAACUGUCGCAGCCAAGAGGAGCCUCAGGAAAUAAGAUGACUAAAUAUAAUGUGUUCUGAAUGGACUCCUGGAACAGAAAAAGGACAUUAGGUAAAAAUUAAGGAAAUCUGACUAAAUUUGUUAGCAAUAAUGUAUCAAUAUUCAUGCAUAGUGACAAAUGUUAUUAAAUUAAUAUAAGGUGUUAAUAAUAGAAGAAACUGGAUAUGGGGUUUAUUUUCUCUGUUCUCUCUUUACAACUUCACAAAUAUAUUCUAAAAUAAAAAGCUUAUUUUUAAAAAGGUAUGUUGUGGGGGCUGGGCGUCGUGGCUCACACCUGUAAUCUUAGCAAUCUGAGAGGCUGAGGUGGGCGGAUCACUUGAGAUCAGGAGUUUG
rnacentral:lncRNA from 1 species